UGCAAAAAAUAAUUUGUGCCUUCCUCUAUGUUUCUCAGACAUUUACUAGAAAACACAUGCAUGAUUUUUAACACUGUCUACAAAGUAAAUUAUCCUCUUCUCUCAUUGGUCCAGAUAUAUUCUGGAGAUAAUAUCUUCCGUUCUGACUAGAUUUUGGGCAUAUGAACUGGUGAAAUUUCCUCAGACCAUAAUAGUUUUAAUUUAUCAUGAGAGAUCUUUGCCAGGCAUUGAGAUUCUCGCUGUGAUCUCCUUGAUGCAAUUAUUAAGAUGAAGCUACAAGACAGCCAUGCAUAACUCCAUUAGCUCCCCAAAUGGACAAAUUGCUACGCUAAUAUUUGUUGCUUGCCUUUGUUACUUCACCUUCAGUUUUUGGUUGAUGACUGUUGGCACAAUCUCUAAACAUUAUUCUGGAUUAUGUUCAAUAGUAGUGUUGCAUUGCCAUCAGAUUGGAUAAGAGCUUGUUUGUAUAUCUCUUCAGGGUCAGCCCCUGGGUUUGGUGGAGAGGCGGCCGAGCGGCCAAACCGGUGCUAUUUUAUCUACUACGAAAACUUGCAUUAUCAACUUUCAACUUUCACUGUAGUUUUGAACUAAAAGGAUAAAUGGCUAUAGACUAAUCCCCAUACUUUUAAACUACAGAGAUAGUUUUUACAUCAAGCACAAUACGUACAGCAAACUAUAGAUAGCCAUAUCAUUUUAUCAUUUGCUUACGCUUAAAAAAUUAUAGCUUGCUUAUUAAAUUUUCCUUGCUAUCCGUGAAGAUAAUAUAUGGCAUUUUUUUCAAUUUUAGCGUGCAUAAACCGCACUAUGAAUCAAAGGAAGAGCCUAAUUUCGGAAAACUCUUUCAUUCCUUUCUUUCCAAGCACCGUACAUGAUAUGUUAUGAUGCCACUAGCAGCUUCUUUAUAUCCUUCCGUAUAUGUCCAAUAUAGGUUUCCACCACUUACUGAAAGAUUGGCUUGUUGUUGUAGUUGAAGGCACCAUGAUGUCAAAGUGAGCACUGAGUCUCGAAUUGCAGGUGUUCGAUGAAAAGGCAAGCGGAUUGCAUGGAAAUAUUAAUCCAUAGUUGCUAAAGUGAUGGACGAGAUCACAGAGUCAAGGAGAGGUGUUGCCCACUCACCGCGCGCUUGCUACUCAAGAUGUGUUGUUUGACUUAAACAGUUUUCAGAUUUACUUUCUUUGCUUCUUUGAUAUUUUUCAUGUUAUGGUUACUGAUUGAGACAAUCAUUUUUCAGUGAGAGGAAAUUUCAAAUAGAUUUCUUCCCCUUCCCCUCA